AUUUGAAUAAUGCUGAUGACUCUUCCUCUUUCCAAUGCUCUUCCCUCUUUCCAACAAUGCCUUCUCCCCUCCUUCUCGAGAAAACGCGUCCCGUGCCUCUUUCCUCUUCCUAAACCCCGAAAGAACAAAACUGAGAGCCACUAAAACGAGAAAGUCAUAUCUCUUUCUCACAUAGACACAUUCUCUUAUUUUUGUUAUUCCUUCCUCGUCAUGGAGUCGCGAGUGCGGUCACGCACCGGAACCUUGUCCUCCCUCCCUCACCUCCGCAAGCCACCGCGGGAGGUCGGUGCCGGCCCCUCCCUCGUCACCGUGAAGGCCGUGGGCUCCGUGGCGAACGACGGGAACCUGUUUUGGGUGAGGCAGCUACGCCCAAAGCUCUGCUCGCCAGCGCUGAAGAAGGAGGCCUUCCUCCUCCGGCCAUGCCUCGUCAUCGCCGGCCGAGGGCAGUGAUUCCGCCGGGUGAGAGAAGCAAAGGUUUCUCCGGCGGGUUUUUUCGAGAAGUAUCCGGCUCUGGUGACUGGAUUCUUCUUCUUCACGUGCUAUGUCACGAGUCGGGACUCUGUUCUGUGUCUCUUACGUUCCCUAAGCUUAACUUUUAACCACUUAACUGUGUUCCACGAGGAAUAGAUAGACUUUUAUGUGUGGCUGUGAUCGUUCCAAGUGUUAAAAUUAUGGUUUUGUCCUUUUUCUUUUUUGAUGCAGGUACUUGAAAGUGAUUUUCAGAUCUACAAUUACUUGCUCAUGAAUUUCAUGUCUUGAUGUUAAUUGUGAUUGGAUCCGUGAAAUGUUAUGUGCAAACAUGUUUCUCUGUCCUUUGUUAAAAUCGGUUGUUAAUGAAUAGUUUUUUUUUGUUGAA